UUAAUUAAGAGUUUGAUCCUGGCUCAGGACGAACGCUGGCGGCACGCUUAACACAUGCAAGUCGAACGAGAGAAGAGGAGCUUGCUUUUCUGAUCUAGUGGCGGACGGGUGAGUAACACGUGAGCAAUCUGCCUUUCAGAGGGGGAUACCGAUUGGAAACGAUCGUUAAUACCGCAUAAUAUAAUUGAACCGCAUGAUUUGAUUAUCAAAGAUUUAUCGCUGAAAGAUGAGCUCGCGUCUGAUUAGCUAGUUGGUAAGGUAACGGCUUACCAAGGCGACGAUCAGUAGCCGGACUGAGAGGUUGAUCGGCCACAUUGGGACUGAGACACGGCCCAGACUCCUACGGGAGGCAGCAGUGGGGAAUAUUGCACAAUGGAGGAAACUCUGAUGCAGCGAUGCCGCGUGAGGGAAGAAGGUUUUAGGAUUGUAAACCUCUGUCUUCAGGGACGAAAAAAGACGGUACCUGAGGAGGAAGCUCCGGCUAACUACGUGCCAGCAGCCGCGGUAAUACGUAGGGAGCGAGCGUUGUCCGGAAUUACUGGGUGUAAAGGGAGCGUAGGCGGGAUCGCAAGUCAGAUGUGAAAACUAUGGGCUUAACCCAUAAACUGCAUUUGAAACUGUGGUUCUUGAGUGAAGUAGAGGUAAGCGGAAUUCCUAGUGUAGCGGUGAAAUGCGUAGAUAUUAGGAGGAACAUCAGUGGCGAAGGCGGCUUACUGGGCUUUAACUGACGCUGAGGCUCGAAAGCGUGGGGAGCAAACAGGAUUAGAUACCCUGGUAGUCCACGCCGUAAACGAUGAUUACUAGGUGUGGGGGGACUGACCCCUUCCGUGCCGCAGCAAACGCAAUAAGUAAUCCACCUGGGGAGUACGACCGCAAGGUUGAAACUCAAAGGAAUUGACGGGGGCCCGCACAAGCAGUGGAGUAUGUGGAUUAAUUCGAAGCAACGCGAAGAACCUUACCAGGUCUUGACAUCGUAUGCAUAGCUCAGAGAUGAGUGAAAUCUCUUCGGAGACAUAUAGACAGGUGGUGCAUGGUUGUCGUCAGCUCGUGUCGUGAGAUGUUGGGUUAAGUCCCGCAACGAGCGCAACCCUUACUGUUAGUUGCUACGCAAGAGCACUCUAGCAGGACUGCCGUUGACAAAACGGAGGAAGGUGGGGAUGACGUCAAAUCAUCAUGCCCCUUAUGACCUGGGCCUCACACGUACUACAAUGGCUGUCAACAGAGGGAAGCAAAGCCGCGAGGUGGAGCGAACCCCUAAAAGCAGUCUUAGUUCGGAUUGUAGGCUGCAACCCGCCUACAUGAAGUCGGAAUUGCUAGUAAUCGCAGAUCAGCAUGCUGCGGUGAAUACGUUCCCGGGCCUUGUACACACCGCCCGUCACGCCAUGGGAGUCGGUAACACCCGAAGCCUGUAGUCUAACCGUAAGGAGGACGCAGUCGAAGGUGGGAUUGAUGACUGGGGUGAAGUCGUAACAAGGUAGCCGUAUCGGAAGGUGCGGCUGGAUCACCUCCUUU
rnacentral:rRNA from 1 species